UUGGAGGGCAAGUCUGGUGCCAGCAGCCGCGGUAAUUCCAGCUCCAAUAGCGUAUAUUAAAGUUGUUGCAGUUAAAAAGCUCGUAGUUGAAUUUCGAGAUCAGUACGCUGGUCGUGCCUUUGGUAUGCACUGGUGUCACUGGUUUCUCCCUUCUGAAGAACUGUCAUGCCAUUCAGUUGGUGUGGCGGGGAAUCAGGACUGUUACUUUGAAAGUAAGUAG
rnacentral:rRNA from 1 species